rnacentral:rRNA from 1 species
UAAUAGCGUAUAUUAAAGUUGUUGCAGUUAAAAAGCUCGUAGUCGGAUGUCGGGCUCGGGGAGGCUGUCGGCCUUUGGUCGGACGGCAUGUCCGGGCCUUUCUGCCUGGGGAUCCUAUUCUACUUAACUGUAGGGUAGUGGGACGCAGGCCGUUUACUUUGAAAAAAUUAGGGUGUUCAAAGCAGGCCUACGCUUGAAUACAUUAGCAUGGAAUAAUGGAAUAGGACUUUGGUCUUAUUUGUUGGUUUAUGGGACCGAAGUAAUGAUUAACAGGGACAGUUGGGGCCGUUUAUAUUUCGUUGUCAGAGGUGAAAUUCUUGGAUUUACGAAAGAUAAACUUCUGCGAAAGCAUUCGGCAAGGAUGUUUUCAUUGA